rnacentral:tRNA from 1 species
CGCAUUUCGUGUACUAUCAAGGUGGUCGAUUUAAAUGUAGAAAAAUGCAUGAAUCAUACAAUUUGACGGGAU